rnacentral:rRNA from 1 species
UUGUUUGAUCAUGGCUCAGGACGAACGCUGGCGGCGUGCCUAAUACAUGCAAGUAGAACGCUUCUUACUUAGUGCUUGCACUAAGUAAGAAGAGUUGCGAACGGGUGAGUAACGCGUAGGUAACCUACCUUAUAGCGGGGGAUAACUAUUGGAAACGAUAGCUAAUACCGCAUAAGAAGAGUUAACACAUGUUAAUUCUUUAAAAGGGGCAAUUGCUCCACUAUGAGAUGGACCUGCGUUGUAUUAGCUAGUUGGUGAGGUAACGGCUCACCAAGGCAACGAUACAUAGCCGACCUGAGAGGGUGAUCGGCCACACUGGGACUGAGACACGGCCCAGACUCCUACGGGAGGCAGCAGUAGGGAAUCUUCGGCAAUGGACGAAAGUCUGACCGAGCAACGCCGCGUGAGUGAAGAAGGUUUUCGGAUCGUAAAGCUCUGUUGUUAGAGAAGAAUGAUGGUGGGAGUGGAAAAUCCACCAUGUGACGGUAACUAACCAGAAAGGGACGGCUAACUACGUGCCAGCAGCCGCGGUAAUACGUAGGUCUCGAGCGUUGUCCGGAUUUAUUGGGCGUAAAGCGAGCGCAGGCGGUUUGAUAAGUCUGAAGUUAAAGGCCGUGGCUCAACCAUGGUUCGCUUUGGAAACUGUCAAACUUGAGUGCAGAAGGGGAGAGUGGAAUUCCAUGUGUAGCGGUGAAAUGCGUAGAUAUAUGGAGGAACACCGGUGGCGAAAGCGGCUCUCUGGUCUGUAACUGACGCUGAGGCUCGAAAGCGUGGG